GAUGAACGCUAGCGGCAGGCUUAACACAUGCAAGUCGAGGGGUAUAGUUCUUCGGAGCUAGAGACCGGCGCACGGGUGCGUAACGCGUAUGCAAUCUACCUUUUACAGAGGGAUAGCCCAGAGAAAUUUGGAUUAAUACCUCAUAGUAUGUGAGAAUCGCAUGGUUUUCACAUUAAAGUUCCAACGGUAAAAGAUGAGCAUGCGUCCCAUUAGCUAGAUGGUAAGGUAACGGCUUACCAUGGCGACGAUGGGUAGGGGUCCUGAGAGGGAGAUCCCCCCACACUGGUACUGAGACACGGACCAGACUCCUACGGGAGGCAGCAGUGAGGAAUAUUGGACCAAUGGGCGCAAGCCUGAUCCAGCCAUGCCGCGUGCAGGAUGACGGUCCUAUGGAUUGUAAACCUGCUUUUUGACAGGAAGAAACACUCCCUCGUGAGGGAGCUUGACGGUACUGUAAGAAUAAGGAUCGGCUAACUCCGUGCCAGCA
rnacentral:rRNA from 1 species